rnacentral:rRNA from 1 species
GACGAACGCUGGCGGCGUGCUCAACACAUGCAAGUCGAACGAUGAAGCCGGAGCUUGCUCUGGUGAAUUAGUGGCGAACGGGUGAGUAACACGUGAGUAACCUGCCCUUGACUCUGGGAUAACUGCGGGAAACUGUAGCUAAUACCGGAUACGACCCUCGGAGGCAUCUCCUGGGGGUGGAAAGAAUUUCGGUCAAGGAUGGACUCGCGGCCUAUCAGCUAGUUGGUGAGGUAAAGGCUCACCAAGGCGACGACGGGUAGCCGGCCUGAGGGGGUGACCGGCCACACUGGGACUGAGACACGGCCCAGACUCCUACGGGAGGCAGCAGUGGGGAAUAUUGCACAAUGGGCGCAAGCCUGAUGCAGCAACGCCGCGUGAGGGAUGACGGCCUUCGGGUUGUAAACCUCUUUUAGCAGGGAAGAAGCGAAAGUGACGGUACCUGCAGAAAAAGCACCGGCUAACUACGUGCCAGCCGCCGCAGUAA